GUUGACCUCGAAUCAGGUAGGGAUACCCGCUGAACUUAAGCAUAUCAAUAAGCGGAGGAA
rnacentral:rRNA from 1 species